GCUCUGAUUGGUUAGGCCUCAGUCACAUGCUCACUACAGAGCAGAAGCGGUCAGCUCUUUUCAACUGCAAGGUAAAAGUUAUAGAUGAUGGUUCCCCACUGGAAUGGUGAAGUGCAGGUGUUAGCUCAUGAAAAUAUUGGCUGAGCUCAGCUCCCUGGUGUGAAAUGCAAGUCCCGGGAAAUUGAAACAUACUUGUGUGUGGUAGCCUGGUGUCUUUUAUUAACGGUCACUAAUGGUCAGCAAUCAAGCCACACCUGUGAGAAACAAACAACAAUUGGCUUGUUUGCUUGAAUAUUUGUCUUCACUGUCAAAGAGUGUGAAGUGAAAGAAAGGAGGAAAUCCACACCCGUGGGUUUGGGGGCAUUGGAUCCAG
rnacentral:lncRNA from 1 species